UACGUAGGGUGCGAGCGUUGUCCGGAAUUAUUGGGCGUAAAGAGCUCGUAGGCGGUUUGUCGCGUCUGCUGUGAAAACUCAGGGCUUAACCCUGAGCCUGCAGUGGGUACGGGCAGACUAGAGUGUGGUAGGGGAGACUGGAAUUCCUGGUGUAGCGGUGGAAUGCGCAGAUAUCAGGAGGAACACCGGUGGCGAAGGCGGGUCUCUGGGCAGUAACUGACGCUGAGGAGCGAAAGCGUGGGGGAGCGAACAGG
rnacentral:rRNA from 1 species